CCGAUGUACUUUUGCUUCAGUUUCAAUUCCAUUUUCGAAGUGCAACUUACUCAAAAUGAAAGCAACAUUUUUCUUCUGCUAUUUGGUGCUGGCCAUUUUUUUACUCAGUGAUCGAUUCAACUGUCAUCCAGACACCGACGUUCCUUGUCCAGAUAAAUACGAAAAUUUACCAGCAAAAUGCUUCCACUAUGAACUUCAUCGUGAUGAAAAUUGUAAAUCUCAAUCGAUGCACAAACAAUUCUCUUAUCAAGGAAGAAUAUGUUACUGCUGUUUGAAAUACACUAAAUGAUUUACUUAUUGUAAUAAUUCCUGAAACUAUUAAAUUCCAUUCAUUUCAUUUCAAAGAGGAAUAUUGAACUCUCUUCAUUCUCAUUCAUUAAAUUUUCGAACAUUUUUAUAAAUGGAAUUGAUUUAAAAAUUGUCGAUUGAGUCAAAUAAAGUAUGUGAUGUCUUAUGUAAAAAAUUGUCGCUUUUGGUUUUGUUUAAAAGUUGUUUUGAUUUUUUUAGAAAAAGAGUCUUAUCAUCAUUGAAAUGACAGACUUCUUGGUACAGACGUUUUUUCACGUUCAGUCAAGAAUAACAGUGGCUGUGUAAUACAACAGUGUGUAUACAAACGUAUUCAAACCAAUCAAUUCAAUUGACAUACAUUUAGAAUGAUGUGAUAAGGGCUCGUAUAAAUACUUUGAUUAAGCAAUCAUAUUUCAGUUUGAGUUCUGAAUCCGGGAGACGUGGGCAUCUUUGAUUUUAAUUAAGUGAGUUUGAAACAAUGAGGGCCGCAGUUGUAUUUAUUUUAAUCGCGUUGACCAUUCUCUUGAUCAGUGAUCAAAUUAGCUGUCUUUCGAUUUGCCCGCAAACGCAUGACACCAGAGUGGUACGAUGCUACGUACAUGAGCCGGAUUGUGGCUCUGGCUCAUAUACUAAAGUUACUCGUGACCAGAGAACAUGCUUCUGCUGUAAUGAAUUCAUUCAGACUUAAGCCUAGCUGAUGAAAGACAAUAAGCAAGUAAACGAGCAAAAGGGACUUCCAACAAACAAAUAAAAUAUUGGGAAUUUAAUCAGAAAAAUGUGAAACUUUCAAAGUUAUUUUUGGUGUUCCGUCAAAAGAUAAAUCUAUUUCAAUAAAUAAAAUGGCCAGUUAACCACGUGCAAUCAAGGUUCAUUGCUUUAAAAAUACUAGAUUACUCACGUCUUUUAUACUAGCUGUUCAACAUAAAAAGCUGUCGGUUUGUAUUCAGACUUGAUCAGUUCAAUCAUGUUGCAAGCGAAUACGGGGGAUUUUCACAACGCAGUCUGAUGAGUGAGUGUAUAGUUUUUUCCAGAAAUGAAAAUUGAGAAAAGCAAUUUGCACGCAAUAGAAUAGCAUCAGAGGCAUCAGCAAGAGCAGUGGCGGCAACGGCGACCGCAGCUUUGAUUGAACAAUGAAUGAUGUGAAUCGAAAAGAGACCAUG